rnacentral:rRNA from 1 species
AACGAACGCUGGCGGCAGGCCUAACACAUGCAAGUCGAGCGAACCCUUCGGGGUUAGCGGCGGACGGGUUAGUAACGCGUGGGAAUAUACCCUUUGGUACGGAAUAGCCUCGGGAAACUGAGAGUAAUACCGUAUGUGCCCUUCGGGGGAAGAUUUAUCGCCAAAGGAUUAGCCCGCGUUGGAUUAGAUAGUUGGUGGGGUAAUGGCCUACCAAGUCUACGAUCCAUAGCUGGUUUGAGAGGAUGAUCAGCAACACUGGGACUGAGACACGGCCCAGACUCCUACGGGAGGCAGCAGUGGGGAAUCUUAGACAAUGGGCGCAAGCCUGAUCUAGCCAUGCCGCGUGGACGAUGAAGGCCUUAGGGUUGUAAAGUCCUUUCAGAUGGGAAGAUAAUGACGGUACCAUCAGAAGAAGCCCCGGCUAACUCCGUG